AUUAUGUAAAUAGCAUGAAUGUCCCGUUAUAUAGUUAAUAUAUAAAAACAUUUUUAAGAAGAGUAAAGGUGAUUGAAAUUUUUAUACUAUGCCUUAAAUAAAGUACUGUAAAGGAACUAACAUAAUUUAAUAAUAGAAAAGAGAAAGCCUUGUACCUUUUGCAUCAUGGUUUAACUAGAUUUUUAUUCAUUAUAGAAUUUCUCGAAAUUUAACGAGCUAUCUUUAGCCUAUUGUUUUAGCAUAAAAAACUAAUUGUGACAAAAAUUUUUUGAGAGCAAAAGAUAGAUAUGAAAUUUUAUUCGCGUUAAAUGAUAGCUAGUUCUUCUGAAAGGCAUAGAAGUGCCUUAAAUUAAAUAGACCUUAGUGAUAUACUACACUAAACUAAAUUUAGUUUAACUAAAUUUUUGAGGAUAAGCUCAAAUAUUAUAAACAUAAUUGCAUCAUAUUUAAAAUUAAAUUUAAGCUUGAAAAUAGCUAAAAUAAAAGAUUUUGUUAUAAUUACAUUCCAAGCAUGAAAAUAUAAUUAAUCUGCUUUAUAAUUAAUGAAGAAAUUUCAAGAACUAAACUGAAAUAAAUGUAUGUUAAAAUUAGUAUUCACUACACUUUGAAUUUUUAAUAAAUUAAAUAUUAAAAUUUAUUUAUAUUCGUUUUCACUCAAGUUACAAAAAGGAACUCGGCAAAAACAUAUUCUGCCUGUUUAUCAAAAACAUGGCUCCUUGUACCUACAAAAUAAGGAGUCGGACCUGCCCAGUGAAUUCUUUCAACGGCCGCGGUACUUUGACCGUGCAAAGGUAGCAUAAUCAUUUGCCUUAUAAUUGAAGGCUAGUAUGAAGGGUUUGACAAGAAUAUAGCUGUCUCUUUGUAAUUAAUUAGAAUUUUAUUUUAAGGUGAAAAAGCCUUAAUAUCAUUAAAAGACAAGAAGACCCUAUCGAGCUUGAAAAAAAUUAAUAAAAUUUUACCAAUACUAAUUAAAAGGUUAUCUUAUUAAAAAUUUUGGUUGGGGCGACCGAGGAUCAAAAACAGCUUCCUUUACUAGCUUACUAUACACAAAUAUUGAUCCAAAAAUUUUGAUUAAAGAAAUUAGUUACCGUAGGGAUAACAGCAUUAUCUUUUUUGAGAGCUCUUAUCGAAAAAAAGGUUUGUGACCUCGAUGUUGGACCAGAAUGUCCUAAAGAUGCAGAAGUCUUUAAGGGUUGGUCUGUUCGACCAUUAAAAUUCUACGUGAUCUGAGUUCAGACCGGCGUGAGCCAGGUCAGUUUCUAUCUUUAAUUAUAUAAAUAUAUCUAGUACGAAAGGACCGAUAUAAUAUAAACUAUUAUUACAGCCUGAAAAAAUAUAAUAAUUAAAUUAAAUUAAUA
rnacentral:rRNA from 1 species